UACGAAGGGGGCUAGCGUUGUUCGGAAUUAUUGGGCGUAAAGCGCGCGCAGGCGGUCUUCCAAGUCGGCGGUGAAAGCCCGGAGCUCAACUCCGGAACUGCCAUUGAAACUGUGAGACUUGAGGAUGAGAGAGGUGAGUGGAAUUCCCAGUGUAGAGGUGAAAUUCGUAGAUAUUGGGAAGAACACCGGUGGCGAAGGCGGCUCACUGGCUCAUUUCUGACGCUCAGGCGCGACAGCGUGGGGAUCAAACAGG
rnacentral:rRNA from 1 species